rnacentral:rRNA from 1 species
GAUGAACGCUGGCGGCGUGCCUAAUACAUGCAAGUCGAACGCUGGAGAGCUAGCCUGCUUGCUCGAAGGAUUGGCGAACGGGUGAGUAUUACAUAAGCAACCUAUCCAUGAAGACCGGGACAAUCUCUGGAAACGGGGACUAAUACCGGCAAGGUAAUUGGAAGGCCUUUUCUGGUUAUUAAAGGUCAGAAACACUGGCGGAUGGGCCUAUGGCGCAUCGGUUCGUUGGUGAGGUAACGGCCCACCAAUACGAUGACGCGUAGCCGGCCUGAGGGGGUGAACGGCUACAUUGGGGCCACGGCCCGGCCCAGUCUCCUACGGACGGGAGCAGUAGGGAACUCUCGGCAAUGAGGGCUACCCUGACCGAGCAGCGCCGGGUGAGUGAAGACGGCCUUCGGGAUGUAAAGCUCUGUUGUAAGGACAGAACGGUAGAUAGAGAAUAUCUAAGUGACGGUACCUAACCAGAAAGCCACGGCUAACUACGUG